GGCUAUUGGGCUGGAAUCGGGUUUGUCGUAUUGGGUCAGAUUAGGUUUGGACUAUACCGGGUUUAGGACUGUAUUUUGGGUUAGAUUUUAUUGGGCUAGUUUUUAGUUUGGGCCAUAUUGAGCCCAGUGUAAAUGGACAUUUAAAAUGGACUAUUUUUAUUGGUUUUUAUUUUUUGUUUAUUUAUUUCUGAUUUGGGCCAGGUAAAUUUGGGCCAUUACAGGAGGGAGAAACAAAGGGUUUUGAUUGGGUUGUAGAGAAGUCAAGAAUUCAACAGAGAGUGGAGGAGGAGCCCUUUGGCCUUUGGAUGUUGGUGAAACGGUGGAAGGGAAGAGGUCAUUUCAC
rnacentral:lncRNA from 1 species